AAUGCCGUUUAAGACCAUAAACGUUUCAAUCGCAAGACUUUCAAUCAUGAAUGAUAGGCUGUAUUUUUUGUUAGCAAUUUCUUUUAAAAUGUGAGUUUAAUGACACGUUUCGUUUUGUUUGCGUUUGUUGUAAGAUAUAAUGUCACUGGUGUGCUUUAUCUUCAGAGGUUCAUGCACCAAACCCGCCUUCGAAUGUUUGGCACAAUAACACAACGAAUUAGCAGGUUUUCAUCAAAUAUUUUGGUAGCGCGCGGAAAUUCUUAGAGUCCCCAGGGCUUCUUGUUUAUUUUGAACAAAUUAAAGGUCGGUUAAACCUUUAUUCGUACCAUUUUUUUUUAACCCCUCAACCGUUUGAACUACCCCGUCAACCGUUCGAAAUACCCCGUCAACUUUUUGAAUUACCCUGUUAACCGUUUGAAUUACCCCAUCAACCGUUUAAAGUAGUCUUUAAAGCCGUAAGCGCAAAUUUGCUUCUCUUAAAUUUUCAGUUGCAGGUGCAACAUACACACAUCUGCGAAUCGUUAGCACACGCUUUGUUGUAUAUUUUUUAGUCUUCGGGAGAACCAUUUCAUCAUUAUAUUUGUGUAUAAAUAAAAUUUCUUGAUUGUUGAAAAGCAAUGUUCGUUUUUUUGUUUGACGUCAGCCGAAAAUUUUUGAUUUUAUAUUCUGUACAAUGUCGCGUGCGUGAAAACGAGGCAAAUAGUGGUAAAGAAUUCGCGUUCACUAUAAACAUGAAGGAAAUUCGUUUUAGUGGAGACCUGCCUUUAGAAAGAAAGUUACUGCAACUUACUCUCCUCAUGAAAACUCAGACAAAAACAGUAAUAUUAUCAGUUUGACCUUCGGCGUGUUAUUGUGGUGGAUGAUUUACCAGCUUGCUAUGAGAUUUUUGUUUGGAUGAUUUAAUAUAGGGCAACGUGAAAAGCCAUAAAAUAUGUAAUAUAUUCGGUCGUUUUUGUUCUUGUAUUGUUAGAAUUUUUUAGUUGGUAAACUUUGUUGUGUUUUUAGAAAGAAACAAAAGUCCUAUAGCUCGUUAGCUAUAUUUUCGUCGUUGUCAAGUAGUUUUAACAUCAUUACCUUUUGUGUAAAAUAAAUAUCGCACAUAAAAUUUCACAUUUUUCGUUCUUAAAUCUUUUUUUUUGUUUAGUAAAGCAUAUUGUACUUGAGAAUAUUUAUCGUUUUGUCAGAGUUGUUUUGAAAUACGUUCUCUAACGUAAGAUGGUGGUUUCGCAGCAACAACUACACUUGUUUUUUAUGUCAAAGCAAGCAUAAAAAAAGGAAAUUUCGAGACGCAUCUUGGCAGAGUUAAUGGUACAGCACAGUGUGUACUUUCCUUGCAGGACAAAGUUCAUAAUCACAUAAUUAAUAAAGAGACUAGUUGGUGGCCCUUGGACGUCGCAAGGAAUUUCCGACCAACUGCCGUGUAAAUCAGCCUUUGUUGGGGUAGUCUGGAUACGCCAUUCAUCAGUGCAUCCAAGCUCCUCAGGCCAUUUUGAAGAUUUUGCCCUGACCGGCGAAACGGAGUUUCAUACCGCGCAGGUCUGGGCACUAGCGAAGCGCUUGUAGAGGCAACGGGAAAGUAAGGUGCAAUCUUGGCGAUAAAAAAGGCCUGCAAGUCCCUUGUAAAUUGAAUUUUCCUUGACAGACAACAUUCUCUAUCUAUAUCACAUCAAGAGCUAAUAAAAACUAAAAAUAAUCAAAAUCUGACAUUUAUCUAGUCUUUUCUCGAGUAGAAAGUUUGAGUUAUCCGAACAAAUAUCCGAAGAGGGGACCAAAGAUGAGUCUAGGUUAACGAAAUGAUCGAAUUAUUCGAGGUUGCAAUUACCGGGCGCUAUCUGUAUCUACUUAAAAAAGUGUGAAAUAAUGCAGUUAGUUUCUUCGUUAUAUUUCUUGCGAAAAAUCUAAAAUCGGCCAAUUCGCGAAAAUAUUAAUUAUUUUUCUGGGAAACUUUGUGUCGCUAAAGUUUCUACACCUGUUUUAUUUAUGCUCAAAAAGGUCGGUCAAGCGGCAGCCCUGACAGGUCUAGGAACUCAACAACGUGUUUUUCGAUUGGGUUCCCAUGCUCUCCGUUGGAGGACUGGAAGUCCUGGAGGACUGGAAGUAUGUAGGGAGCAUGGGUGUUGUGUGCGUAAAGGGAUGACUUAAGAAACAAGGGCUUCAUCAAACGUGUAGGCAUUUUUUCUUAUACCACUUUCUCUGCUCAGGUAGUGAAAUUAAUGCUUGAUCGAAUUAAAGCUAGUGGACCUGGCGGUCCAUUAUCACAGGUCUGUUUUUGACCUCUGAUAAUAUUUCUCGAUUUGUUUGUUGGUCAUGCUUAACAGAUUUGGUAAACGAACGAUAACAUACUUGCGGCGAUUAGCAAGGUUAAUAAGAAAAGAAAAAAAGUGACUGUAUGGGUAAUUAUAAUUGGUAGGUAAAUUGCACCUGUACUGUAAUGGUAGGAUUUUGAUUGGUUGAGAGAAUCACUGCGCCUGGGGUAAGUGACUUAAUAUACAGUUUGUGAGUACACGCGCACCUAGGGGUAGAGAUAUAGAACACGUGCACCCAGGGUAAUCUGCAUGAAUCUAAAACUAGGCUGAUGGCCGAGGUAGUCGAUAAAAUGUGCACACAAGGAUAAAGGGGGCCCCACUAUGAAAGGGUAAACAUACCCAGAGACCCUUACUCCUCGUGCUCACGGACUUUAGAGACGCGGGUCUACCGUAGAUGAACCAUGCGAGAGUAAAGGAUGUACCAAAAACAGUGCACAAGCUAAAACACCUGUGGUUCAAGUCAGCCGUAUUUGCUGAGCUGUCUAACGCCUGCCUGCUACGUAUAAUAAAUGACGGAAACGCACGGGGAUACGCGAACACGCGGCGAGUAGAAAAUAGCACAAGCCACCAAUACUAAAGUUUAUGCAGGGUCUAAUGUACACAGACAGUGGUAAUUUUUUGUCAAUUUUUCAACAGUAUUUUUUUGAAAUGAUCAUAAAAAACAUGUAUAUUAAUGAAGAAGAUAACAAAUUUAAUUUAAUUUUAAAAUAUUUUAAUCUUUACUCAAAGCGAAUUAUUUUGCGCCACAAGUAAUAAUUUACACAAUAUUGUUACGGGUAUUACAACUGGGGGAUAAGACAACCUCGGGAGCAAUGUCAGACUCUGACACUGCAAAGUAUAGUUCGGUUCGAUUUGAUUCGCCAGAACAUCUCACGUGGUGUCAUUUAUGAGCAGCAUAAUUUCUACACGCGGUACUCCCGCUGCCAAUGUCGCACGGUAGAAGAACCAUUUCAAAACACCCAAAACUUUCGGAUUAAGGUGUUCGACGGUAUAAAA